rnacentral:rRNA from 1 species
AUUGAACGCUGGCGGCAUGCCUUACACAUGCAAGUCGAACGGCAGCACGGGUGCUUGCACCUGGUGGCGAGUGGCGAACGGGUGAGUAAUAUAUCGGAACGUACCUUAUCGUGGGGGAUAACGCAGCGAAAGCUGCGCUAAUACCGCAUACGCCCUGAGGGGGAAAGCGGGGGACCGUAAGGCCUCGCGCGAUUAGAGCGGCCGAUAUCUGAUUAGCUUGUUGGUGGGGUAAAAGCCCACCAAGGCGACGAUCAGUAGCUGGUUUGAGAGGAUGAUCAGCCACAAUGGGACUGAGACACGGCCCAUACUCCUACGGGAGGCAGCAGUAGGGAAUUUUGCGCAAUGGGGGGAAACCCUGACGCAGCAACGCCGCGUGAAUGAUUAAGCCCUUCGGGGUGUAAAGUUCUGUCAGUAGGGACGAAACUUGACGGUACCUACAGAGGAAGCACCGGCUAACUCCGUG